AAUGAACGUUGGCGGCAUGGAUUAGGCAUGCAAGUCGAGCGAGAAGUGUAGCAAUACACGGAAAGCGGCGGAAGGGAGAGUAAUACGUGGGAAUCUGCCCUUAGACCUGGGAUAGCAGCUGGAAACUGCUGGUAAUACCAGAUAAUGUCUAUGGACCAAAGGUGUGAUUCCGUCUAGGGAUGAGCCCACGUCCUAUUAGCUAGUUGGUAGGGUAAUGGCCUACGAAGGCGAUGAUGGUUAGGGGGUGUGAGAGCAUGACCCGCCUCACUGGGGCUGAGACACUGCCCAGACACCUACGGGUGGUUGCAGUCGAGAAUCUUCGGCAAUGGGCGCAAGCCUGACCGAGCGAUGCCGCGUGCGGGAUGAAGGCCUUCGGGUUGUAAACCGCUGUCGAGGGGGAGCAACUUCCAUAGAGUUAUCUUUAUGGAUUGAGUGAUCCCUGGAGGAAGGACGGGCUAAGUUCGUGCCAGCAGCCGCAGUAAAAC
rnacentral:rRNA from 1 species